rnacentral:rRNA from 1 species
CCUGUAAUCUGGACGGACCACCGGUGGCGAAAGCGCCUCAGGAGGACGGAUCCGACAGUGAGGGACGAAAGCUAGGGUCUCGAACCGGAUUAGAUACCCGGGUAGUCCUAGCUGUAAACGAUGCCCGCUAGGUGUGGCGCAGGCUACGAGCCUGCGCUGUGCCGUAGGGAAGCCGAGAAGCGGGCCGCCUGGGAAGUACGUCUGCAAGGAUGAAACUUAAAGGAAUUGGCGGGGGAGCACUACAACCGGAGGAGCCUGCGGUUUAAUUGGACUCAACGCCGGACAUCUCACCAGCUCCGACAGUAGUAAUGACGGUCAGGUUGAUGACCUUACCCCGAUGCUACUGAGAGGAGGUGCAUGGCCGCCGUCAGCUCGUACCGUGAGGCGUCCUGUUAAGUCAGGCAACGAGCGAGACCCGCACUCCUAAUUGCCAGCAGUACCCUUUGGGUAGCUGGGUACAUUAGGUGGGACUGCCGCUGCCAAAGCGGAGGAAAGGAACGGGCAACGGUAGGUCAGUAUGCCCCGAAUGAGCUGGGCAACACGCGGGCUACAAAUGGUCGAGACAAUGGGAUGCAACUCCGAGAGGAGGCGCUAAUCUCCUAAACUCGAUCGUAGUUCGGAUUGAGGGCUGAAACUCGCCCUCAUGAAGCUGGAUUCGGUAGUAAUCGCGUGUCAGAAGCGCGCGGUGAAUACGUCCCUGCUCCUUGCACACACCCGCCCGUCAAAGCACCCGAGUGGGGUUUCCGGAAG